AUAAGGUUUAGCUUAGGUGUCUUCUUGUUUAUUUUGGGAAUGGAAAUCAACAUUUAUAGUGACUGUAUAUAGUGCCAGGUCAGGAAGCCUGGAGAAAUAACCUAUAGGAAUCCACAAGGUGGCUUGUUUAUGUAUGUUUCUGAAGCCAAUUUCCCCAGUGAGAUCACUGAAUGGAUUGGCUAUGCCCUGGCCACUUGGUCCAUCCUGACACUUGCAUUUGCAUUUUUCUCACCUUGUUUCCUUG
rnacentral:lncRNA from 1 species